GCUUAAGGCUGCAUCGACUUCCGAGCUGAUAAGCCAAUUUGCCCCCCACCUCUCCAUCUCUUCUCUCAUCUGCUCUAUUUUCUUCCGCCGCCGGCGACAUCCUUUCCCCACGGCCAGGGAUGGUGCCCUGCUCCCCUUACUGGCAACAAGCAGCGCCGCCACACUGUGCCUCCGCCUCCUCUUCUAUUUCCCCGCCGCGUUGCUCGGUCGCGCCCCUACUCGCUCACCCGGUAAACCCUAACCUCGCCCCUGCUCCGACGCCGCCUCCUCCUCGACCCCCUAGCUCCUUCUCCACUAUAUCGACGUCGACAACCACCUACUGGAACCCGCGCUACCAUGUCUUCCCUUCCCAUCGCUGGGCGGUUGGUGCUUCAUCGUCGAGGCAGCUGGUGCCGAUCUGGCCGCCGCACCACCUCGGGAGGAGUUGGGGUGGCGGCGCCGCUGUUGGCGGGAGGCGGCACGGUAGACAGGGAGCGACGAGGAGGUGACGCCCAUGUCAACCACAGGCCCGGAGGUCACCAGCAGGCAGCAGCUACGCGUCGCGUCGGUCCACAUUAGUAAAGAAACCCGCAGCACCUCACCUGGACGGUGCUCCUCGAUCCUGCAGAUGGUCCGUCGCUGCAAGCGAUAACCAGCAGUGCUAGCGCCUGCUCCGGAUCAGGGAGCAUGGCAUCACCUGUAAGCCGCCCUAUCACCACCCAAACAACGGUCAGAAUGUCAACGCUGCAGUCGCGAGGCAGAGCACUAAGAACUAUGGUAGCAGAGGAAUCCCAUAGUAGGAGCAGCCGAGCAGGAUGGAUUUGGUUCAGGAUCAUGGUGAGGAGGGGAUACAUUACCUGGCCAGAUUGAACCUCAUGCAUGAUCGCCGGCUGCGACAUGACCGUCUUGGCUCUCUCCUGGUUCUUCUACUUCCUCACUCAAAGCUCACGCGUGGUGAAUUAGAUCAUUUUGUACGACAAAAGCACCUAGAUGUGGUUAAUCAAAAUUUAUUAGAGUGUGUAUUACAAAGUUUCUUCCAAGGUUGCUGGAUAUGCGCAUGGAAUUGAGAAAAUGGUGUUUUUGAGAUCGCCACUGACUCUCCUCUUUUAUGAGAGUGUUGACCCGUUUAUCUUGCAUGAUUACAUUGAAACGACACACAGAAAAUCACCCUUAAAGGUAUUGCGAUUGUUUAGUUUUUUCAUGGGUCUAGGUUCAAUUUAGAUCUGGAGUGGGAGUGUUUAUAUUUAAAUAUAUACAUUGAUGCCUACUCCUUAGGCAAUACAUCUGGAAGGUUUAAACAGGAAUAUUGCAAAUAAACUAUAUUACACAGAUAGUUUCAAUGAACAAUUCUCUAGGUUCAGUGCAUAAUUUCUUAUGCAAAUUUUUUUUUUGUCUCAUAGAUGACGAUGGUGGGACUUGAUAUAUGCACGACAUAAUAAAAUAGGAAUCACUGUAGGAAGCACAAAUAAAAAUAGCUGAUCAAAUAGGUUGAUUUCCAGGAUAAGUGCACACAUAUUACCAAAUCUAGAUUGAAUCAAUACACCUGAUCAAGUUAAGUGUUCUUCAGCUAGAGAGCAGUAAUACUAAUUGGUAGAUUAGUUGAGAAUAAUCUCUUUCAACUGUGUUCUCCGUUGUGUGUUUGAUCCAGCUUGAUGGUUGGUUUCACAUAUGUACAUCUCUUAGGUUUGCAAGCAGCUUAGUAUCAUGGGAAGUAGUGAAUCAGUGAUUUGAUGGAUCAUGGGAAGUAGUGAAUAUGUGAUUUGAUGGAUCGGCAGGUGUUCAAAAUUUUGCUACAACAUCCAGGGUUAGCAAGAGAAGUGCUUGAGGCAACCUUCUGGCUGUAGCACACAGGACACUAUCAAUUGCUACAAGGGAGCCUUCGAACUGCAGACUUUGUGGUUAGCUUGAAGAGAAAACCGUCCAACCACUUCCUGAUAUUGAUUAAUUUGGCGUUCAUGUAAUUUCUGUGAUUAUCAGCAAUGUAACUUGUGCGCAUGUUUUUUUGUGUGUGCGUUGCCAGCAUGUACUGCAUAACCAAGUAGGGAUCAUUGAUUCGUAGGUGAUAUUUGUUCCUACUUCCUGGUAUAACUGUUAUCUUUAUUAUAUAUAAGCAUCAUUGUGCUUACAUACUA